GUGGGGAAUAUUGGACAAUGGGCGCAAGCCUGAUCCAGCCAUGCCGCGUGAGUGAUGAAGGCCUUAGGGUUGUAAAGCUCUUUCACCGGGGACGAUAAUGACGGUACCCGGAGAAGAAGCCCCGGCUAACUUCGUGCCAGCAGCCGCGGUAAUACGAAGGGGGCUAGCGUUGCUCGGAAUUACUGGGCGUAAAGGGCGCGUAGGCGGACAGUUUAGUCAGAGGUGAAAGCCCAGUGCUCAACCUUGGAAUUGCCGUUGAUACUGGCUGUCUUGAGUACGGGAGAGGUGAGUGGAACUCCGAGUGUAGAGGUGAAAUUCGUAGAUAUUCGGAAGAACACCAGUGGCGAAGGCGACUCACUGGCCCGUUACUGACGCUGAGGCGCGAAAGCGUGGGGAGCAAACAGGAUUAGAUACCCGUGUAGUCC
rnacentral:rRNA from 1 species